UGUCGCAAAGUUUUAUCAUUUCGUUUAGCUUGGAUUUUUUGUGCUAUUCACUUCUAGAUUGCUUCAAGAACUCUUUCGAUGGUUUGCAAGUUUAUGAAAACGUCCAAAGUCCGGAUGUAACAAGGUUUUCUUCAGCCAGCCAACGAAUCUCUCAAAACAUCUUGACCGUUGAUCUUCGUAGGCAGUCGCUGGCAGAACAAUGUGAGACAAUUCAACUAGAUCAUGGUGAUGGUGUAAAAGGGCAUGAUAGAAAUGACUUUGCACAAAAUCAACGAAUCAUUUCUGUAAAUGAAGAAGCAAAUGACAAUGUUAUUGAUAUUCGUGAUUCUAAUGCUUCCAAACAGGCAGCUGGUAUUGAUGUUUGGACUGGUCAACUUUCUAAAGGAGAUUCGUGCUUCACAAAAGAAAACUAAAUGCAGAGUAACAAACAUGUCUCGUAUUAAUUCAACAGAAGAAAACAAAGAUGACUCUUACUUCUCCAAGUUCCAAGAAAAACAUAUUGAACAUGAUAGUUAUUCAAACUUAGAUCGACAAAAUACCAACUACUCAGAAAUGUUACAAAAAAGUGCACAAUGCAACCGUCAAAUUCAAGAAACACCAUUUAUUCAAGGAAAAAAAAUACCAAACGUAAAUCAGACGAGGACAGUGUCCACGUGAGAGAUAUUUGGAAAGCUUUGGUAGACGGUGGCUAUGACGUUUCUAGAAAAGAAAUCUCAAAAUACAAAGUUGAGUUGACAGAUUCAAGACAAAAAUCUGCACCCUCGAAACGAAACAGUUUUAUAAAUCAUCAAAAGACAAAUCCUGUUCUUCGAAAUAAGUCUGCAAAUUACAACAAGGAGAGCAUUGAAAUUCCUGUGAAUAAAUCAAUGGGUUGCUUUUUGCCAAAUGAUAAAAAACUUCAAUGUUUUGUCCCCAAACUAGAUGACAAAAAAGAGGUACAUAUAGCUAAAAUGUGACAUUGAUAUUUUUUAGUUUAUGAGUUUAUAUCAGCUCAACAAAAAAGUUGAUACUUAGAUUGGAGAGUGAAAUGACCAUCUGCUUCACUUCUUGUAGUUAGAACAAAACAAAGGAAAUUUUAAAAACGGUGAGACCAAUCAGCUUGAAAUUAUUGCAGUAAGGAAACCCAUGAAUAAGCUAUCAAGAAAUGAAAAAGUCUCCGAUUUCUCUCGAUGGAAGUUUGAAGUCAACACGAGCCCGAAAUUGGGUCAUUUUUUGUACUUUGCAUAUUGUUUGAAUAUAAAUCAAAACAGGUAUAUUGAUUUGUAGCUACUGUCAUCUGUACUUAAUAGAAAAUAUCUUUUGCUUUCA